rnacentral:rRNA from 1 species
GACGAACGCUGGCGGCGCGCCUAACACAUGCAAGUCGAACGGUGAAGAGGAGCUUGCUCCUCGGGACAGUGGCGGACGGGUGAGUAACACGUGAGCAACCUGGCUCUAAGAGGGGGACAAAAGUUGGGAACGACUGCUAAUACCGCAUGACGUAUCGGGAUGGCAUCUUCCUGAUACCAAAGAUUUUAUCGCUUAGAGAUGGGCUCGCGUCUGAUUAGAUAGUUGGCGGGGUAACGGCCCACCAAGUCGACGAUCAGUAGCCGGACUGAGAGGUUGAACGGCCACAUUGGGACUGAGACACGGCCCAGACUCCUACGGGAGGCAGCAGUGGGGGAUAUUGGACAAUGGGGGCAACCCUGAUCCAGCGACGCCGCGUGAGGGAAGAAGGUUUUCGGAUUGUAAACCUCUGUUGACGGAGAAAAAAAUGAUGGUAUCCGUUUAGAAAGCCACGGCUAACUACGUG